ensembl:snoRNA
CUCCGUGUGUCUUCGGAACCUGUCGCUGUGGCAGUCUCCACUCCUAGCCAUGUAUUUCUGUUUAUUGGUAAAGCCGUCACCAUUUAAUUGAUACCAUAUUCUGACUUGCACAAGUAACAUUC